CAUUCUGCAAAAAAAUAGAACAUGUCCUAUUAUUGUCCGCAUUACGGACAAGGAUAGUACUGUUCUAUUAGGGACCCAUUGAUCUCUGUCCGCAUCUGUAUGUCUGUUCCGUAGCCCCGCAAAAAAUAUAGAGAAUGUCCUAUUCUUGUCCGUUUUUUGGAUCCGCAAAAAAAAAAAAAAAAA